UACGGAGGAUCCAAGCGUUAUCCGGAAUCAUUGGGUUUAAAGGGUCCGUAGGCGGUUAGAUAAGUCAGUGGUGAAAGCCCAUCGCUCAACGGUGGAACGGCCAUUGAUACUGUUUAACUUGAAUUAUUAGGAAGUAACUAGAAUAUGUAGUGUAGCGGUGAAAUGCUUAGAGAUUACAUGGAAUACCAAUUGCGAAGGCAGGUUACUACUAAUGGAUUGACGCUGAUGGACGAAAGCGUGGGUAGCGAACAGG
rnacentral:rRNA from 1 species